rfam:Fukomys damarensis contig143374, whole genome shotgun sequence.
CCACAGCGGGGGCAACUGGGGCCAGCCCCAUGGCGGAGGCUGG